rnacentral:rRNA from 1 species
CGAACGAUGAACCUCCUUCGGGAGGGGAUUAGUGGCGAACGGGUGAGUAACACGUGGGCAAUCUGCCCUGCACUCUGGGACAAGCCCUGGAAACGGGGUCUAAUACCGGAUACUGAUCAUCUUGGGCAUCCUUGGUGAUCGAAAGCUCCGGCGGUGCAGGAUGAGCCCGCGGCCUAUCAGCUUGUUGGUGAGGUAAUGGCUCACCAAGGCGACGACGGGUAGCCGGCCUGAGAGGGCGACCGGCCACACUGGGACUGAGACACGGCCCAGACUCCUACGGGAGGCAGCAGUGGGGAAUAUUGCACAAUGGGCGAAAGCCUGAUGCAGCGACGCCGCGUGAGGGAUGACGGCCUUCGGGUUGUAAACCUCUUUCAGCAGGGAAGAAGCGAAAGUGACGGUACCUGCAGAAGAAGCGCCGGCUAACUACGUGCCAGCAGCCGCGGUAAUACGUAGGGCGCGAGCGUUGUCCGGAAUUAUUGGGCGUAAAGAGCUCGUAGGCGGCUUGUCGCGUCGGUUGUGAAAGCCCGGGGCUUAACCCCGGGUCUGCAGUCGAUACGGGCAGGCUAGAGUUCGGUAGGGGAGAUCGGAAUUCCUGGUGUAGCGGUGAAAUG